CUAAGAAUUUAGCCUGGAGCAAGCUGGGAGCACCGGAGCAUGCAGCCCUUUCCAGGGCUGUGUCAGCUGAGGGGGCAGAGGGAACCCAGCAGGGAUCAGACACAAAGCAGCAGCGGACUGAACCCCUGUGGUGGCUGCAAGCAGCUCUACGCUUUGGUCACUGCUUGUGGCAUUUUUUAUUAAACCAUCUCAGAGAUCUUCUGUUGUGCUCUGUAUUUCUAAGUGUCUGUCCUCUUGGUGUUGUCUUCUUCACCAUUAUUUCUCCGAAUUUUCCUACCUUGUCAGCAGCAGCCCCUGUCCAGAACUUUGCUAUAUGAGCAAAACGCAGCUGGGAACAGCAAUGCAUAGAAUCCUACAGCUCAGGAGCUCUCAUGUCAGAGUCCUGACUGAGCCUUAUGAGCACCUCCUUUGAGCCUUAUGUGCACAAAAUAAUGAUUGGUGGAGUUUUUUUGCCUAGGAGCUCUUGAGAAGCAAAUGUUCUGCUGAGAUUCUCAUGAGUGUAUCCAGUACAGUCAUUCCUGAGAAACAGUAAGUCCAGGGUAGCAGAUCAGCUAGGAGCUGGUCACUCCCUGCAAAGGAGUUAUGUAGGAACACCACGUUCCAGGAUGGGCAAUAAGGGUAAAUGUGCUCAGGUUGCAGUAGGUGAGGUUUAGGUUCACCUAGAGGGCAGUCAGGGGUGGUGAGCACUGGCAGAUGCAGCUGCAGUCCCCAUGUUCCUUUCAGUGGUGGCUUUAAGGUGUCUGCAGCCUGGAUCCAGAGCACCCUGGGGGCUCCUGGGGCUGGCUUUGCACUCAGGGUGAGGAUGCCCAGGAGCUGCUGGGGGCCAGCAGUGGGGACGAAGGCUGGGGCUUGCAGGCUGGGACGUGUGGCUCUGGGGGUUAGGACAUACCAGGGCAUGAGUCACAGUGGGAGCCUGGUAGCCCAGUGACAUGGUUCUGCUGGCUGUGGCAUCACAGAGGACGACAGGUCACACUGGCACCUGUGUCCAGGGGCAGCAGCAGGCAGUUGAACUCUGGCAGCACACGCAGUGGGAAUGCUGGGCUGGAUGGGGGCUAGCAAAGCCAGGCUGGGGGUUUAAACCCAGAGUGAGAACUGGGACCCUCAGGACUGCCAGUCCAGUUACCCCCAGUGGGCUGAAGGUGGACAUAAAAACUCAUAAGGAUGUGGCCAAGCAGAUGCAGGAGCGUGAGGAAUUUUUGCAUCGGGAGAUGAGUCGGCUCCUACAGGAAAUUGAGGAGAACAAUUCCACGAUGAAAAGCCUGUUCCUUUCCGCACAGCAGCUGCCAUGGCUUACUUGGCUCACUGAGGCUGUUCUGCUGUCUGUGGCCUUCUGGCUGGUCAGGAGAUGGAAGUGGCGCUCUGCCAGCAGCAGGAGGCAGGAGGGAUCCAGCAGCAAGGAGAAUGGCAACAGUGAGGAGAAGGCUGGCAGCAAGGAGCAGGACCCACUCAGCACGAAGGUGCUGAAGGAGCUGUUGGACGAGCUCCUCAGUGUCUGCCGAGUGCUGUCCCGGAGGAGCUUCAUGCCAGAGCUGCACCCAGCCACCGGGACAGGCACCAGCUCUGAAGCCUGGAGCAUCCAGGAGAACAGCAGCACCUACUGCCCUCUGGUCAUCCUGCGGCCACCCCUCGGCCACUCCUUCAGCCCGGAGAGCACAGAGCAGCCGCCAGCCAGGCGCAUCCGUGUGGUGCUGGAGUGCCUGUGCUCAGGGGAGCAGCUGCUGGGGCAGAUGUGCUUUCUCCACACCUCUGGUGGCCAGCUGCCCAGGGAUCAGGAGUGGUACCUGCUGGACACCCUCUGCACAGGCUUGUUGUAGUUUAGGGCAUAAGCACUGCGGAAGAAUUCGGGAUGUAACAGAAAGCCAGCAACCCACCCCCCUCUCUAGGAUAGUAAAGCCUCCUGCAAUUAGCCAAUAGCACCCCAGGUGUGACGAAGGCAAAUGGGAGUAACACAAUGACCCUAGGUUAUAAAAUGUUAAAUUCCCCUGCAAUA
rnacentral:lncRNA from 1 species